UACGGAGGGGGUUAGCGUUGUUCGGAAUUACUGGGUGUAAAGCGCGCGUAGGCGGAUCAGAAAGUUGGGGGUGAAAUCCCGGGGCUCAACACCGGAAUUGCCUUCAAAACUCCUGGUCUUGAGUUCGAGAGAGGUGAGUGGAAUUCCGAGUGUAGAGGUGAAAUUCGUAGAUAUUCGGAGGAACACCAGUGGCGAAGGCGGCUCACUGGCUCGAUACUGACGCUGAGGUGCGAAAGCGUGGGGAGCAAACAGG
rnacentral:rRNA from 1 species